rnacentral:rRNA from 1 species
UACAGAGACUGCAAGCGUUAUUCGGAUUCACUGGGCGUAAAGGGUGCGCAGGCGGUUGGGUGUGUCAGAUGUGAAAAUCCCGAGGCUUAACCUCGGAACUGCGUCUGAAACUACUCGACUAGAGUACUGGAGAGGGAAACGGAAUUCACGGUGUAGCAGUGAAAUGCGUAGAUAUCGUGAGGAACACCAGAGGCGAAGGCGGUUUCCUGGACAGUUACUGACGCUCAGGCACGAAAGCAUGGGGAGCAAAAGGG